CCUCGGGGCGCAGCAGUGGGGAAUAUUGGGCAAUGGGCGCAAGCCUGACCCAGCAACGCCGCGUGAAGGAAGAAGGCUUUCGGGUUGUAAACUUCUUUUAUGAGGGACGAAACAAAUGACGGUACCUCAUGAAUAAGCCACGGCUAACUACGUGCCAGCAGCCGCGGUAAUACGUAGGUGGCAAGCGUUAUCCGGAUUUACUGGGUGUAAAGGGCGUGUAGGCGGGACUGCAAGUCAGAUGUGAAAAUUAUGGGCUCAACCCAUAAUCUGCAUUUGAAACUGUAGUUCUUGAGUGAUGGAGAGGG
rnacentral:rRNA from 1 species